UGACCCGGACGUGAUUUGAACACGCAGCCUUCUGAUCUGGAGUCAGACGCGUUAGUGUUGUGCCACCGAGUC
rnacentral:tRNA from 13 species